CGUUGAUCGACCGAGCAAAACUAUACACAAACAGCGAACAUGGAAUGAAUUCGCCGGCAUGUUACGUUGCUGAAUUUUUAAUCGGUAAAGUUUUAUUUUCAUUUUCUAUUAACUAGGUAUAUACACAAAUCAACUGACCGCUUUGUGAAUAUAGUAUACGAUUUCAAUUUUCGAAGUGGCUAUUUCGAGGGAUGAACAAAUUUUCAUGAAAAUAUCGAUUCCACAGAGUACAAUUGUCGUAGCCAAGGAAAAUGUCUAGGAGGCACUAAUAAUAAUUUUAAUUAUUACCUACUAUACUUUUUAAAAUUAUAUAAAAUACACCGAAACAACCUAAAUAACCAUGAUAAAAAAAAAAACGAUUUCGAGAAGUUUAGAGAAGUAGCACUUAAGGCAAUGGGGGCACAUAUCCUCGGAUUCGGCAUUGCUGCGGUACAUUAUAUUAGUAAUCAAUUUAAUUUUAAUUUCACCAUAGAUCCGGAAAUCAGAGUACUCAACAAUCUACCGAGUUUGCCGUACACCGAAUCCUUCAUGAUAGCGUCGUGCGACAAAAAUGAGAAAUGUCUGUACAUUACAGAUACAUAUGGUACCAUUUCUCAUGUCCUCGUGAGUAUCUAUAAUAUAUACGAGUAUUAUGUUUUAAAAUUAAAGCGAUACAUUAUAAUUAUGAUUUUCAUAUCGAGGCCAGCGCAAUCGGAAGAAACAGCGAUGUAAUCACGAAUUUUUUACACAACAAUUAUUCGUCGAUCAGUCCGGGCAUUUUGGGUGCUAUUGAAUUCGCUCUGAGAACACUAUGCGUAGUUAUUGAACCGAAUUCGAAUUUCAUAGAGGUUUCAGUGACCGCGUUCGGUAGGCCAUUCGAAGUAAAUAAAAUAUUACCGGUGUCUGGUAUAAUAGUAUUAUUUUUAUGUAUCUACCUAUAUACCUUUGGUCAUAAUAAUAAAAAUUACAAUCAAAUUGAAAAGCUUUAGGCUAUGUAAAAUAGCAUAGGUACCUACUAGUGGCAUAUUUAAGAUUUUUUCAAGAAGGGAAAAUAUUAAAUUUAAAAAUUGUGUAGGCGUACCAAAAUUGGAAAAAAAUGAUCCACUUUUUUUUUAAAUUUUUAAAUUUUUAAUUAAUUAAUUUUUAUAAAUAGUUUAUAAUUUCAAUCUGUGCUAAAAUUAUCGUUGAAAUCAAAUAACUUGAUAAAGGAAUUAGAAAAAAUUAUUAGUUUCAUUAAUAUUAUUAUUAGGUACUAUUGGGAAUAUUUUUGAAAAUAUACAAUAAUAAGAAACUGUGUGUGGUGUAUUUCGUAUUAAAUCAAAUCUUCUUUGUACUCAUAUAAUAGGUUCCUACAUGUAUAUAGCUGCAUACAACACUUACCACAAUAUUUAUGAGAAAUUUUUUUGACAAACAUUCUAAGUAAACGACGGGUUUUUAAUUAAUUACAAAAACCAAAUGUAUAAUAUAAGAUAUUCGUACCAAAAAAAUAACAAAAAAUAAUAAUAAUAAAAAAUAUAUCACUGUAAAACGAAAUGUUCCCUUAUUUUCUUCGAAUUCAGAAUAAAAUAUAGGUAGCACGUUGAAUUUAAUUAAAUAGAAAUUGGAACGAUAUAUAAAAAUAAUUCUUAAAAUAUAUCAUUUAGAACCCACUUUAUGAAUAUUUAUAUAUUUUAAAUUAAAAUCAAGCCGUAAUAAAUUAAUUUGAGACAAACUGUUUAUACUGCAGGUUUUUUUUUUUUUUUUAAUUUAAUUUUACAAAAACCGUUUAUAAUUUGCACAGCUGAAUACAAUGAGCGUGUGUAUACAAUAUUAUUUAUGAAAUAUUAACAUUUCAAAUAUUAUAUUAUUCUCGUAUUAUAACAUCAUGCAGCAUGGCAUAUUUAGGAUUUUAUUAAGAAAAGAGGGAUAUUUGAAAAUUGUAUCAAACCGCAUAACGUGUGUGGACUAAAAAGAAAAAAAAACCGUUUAAUUUUUAAUUAUAUAUUUUUCUAAGUAAUAUCUGUAAUUUAAUCGGCCAUUAGAUUAGCUAUAUUUGUUCAAUAUCAUUCAUACGGGGUGAUCAGUAUAACGAAAGACACACAUUAUUUCGGAAAGUUUUAACUUUUUUCGGGAUAUGUUUUUUAGAAAGGGUCUAAGGGAGAGAUAUAUCUCUCUAAUUUCCCGCCCCAAAUACAUUGUGGAUGGAAUAAAAAAAAAAAAUACCUAAUUAUAUGGUAGUAGGUUAUCUAUAUCACACACUUGUGUUUUUAUAGUGUUUAAAAUCUACACCUUAGCAUUUAUAUUGUCCAUUUUAUGUUGUCAGUCGAAACAAUUUAAUAUAGUACGUUUAUUUAACUUUAACACUGAAUCAUUUAUUGUAUUAUUUUAGAUCGUUGAUGAUAGCAUAGUCAACCUACACUUGGCAAGAAUAAUAUCGACGAG